rnacentral:misc_RNA from 1 species
UCGAUACUUAUCGAAUACUGCAAUCACCAAAAACCGGCAAGCAGUUAAUUAAACGAAUAACUACGUAAAUUGGAUAUUUUUACACACAUCUAGAAAGCAGUAAAAAAAGCAUGAAAGAAGGCCAUUGUACAUAAAGUAAAACAUGGAAGUCAACGGUCAAAGUUGAUUCAUUAUAUUUUUGCACCGAUUUAUUGCUAUACUAAAAAGGCUCUUCAGCAUAUCUUUUGGAGGCUGUGAUUUAGGCAAGCCCAUAUUCCGAAACUAAGCAUGUUAAAUUAAUGGGUUGACAUAGAGGAGGCUCUCCAAAUUAAGGAUAUACACCUGCCGACUCGUUUGAACUUCAUUUGUUUACCAAAAAUCACGAAG